rnacentral:rRNA from 1 species
AUUGAACGCUGGCGGAAUGCUUUACACAUGCAAGUCGAACGAUGAAGCCUAGCUUGCUAGGUCGAUUAGUGGCGAACGGGUGAGUAAUAUAUCGGAACGUAUCCAAUAAUGGGGGAUAACUAGUAGAACGAUUGGCUAAUACCGAAUACAUCCUACGGGAGAAAGCUGGGGAUCGUAAGACCUUGCGUUAAUGGAGCGGCCGAUAUCUGAUUAGCUAGUUGGCGAGGUAAAGGCUCACCAAGGCGACGGUCAGCAGCGGGUCUGAGAGGACGACCAGCCACACUGGAACUGAGACACGGUCCAGACUCCUACGGGAGGCAGCAGUGGGGAAUUUUGGACAAUGGGCGAAAGCCUGAUCCAGCCAUUCCGCGUGAGUGAAGAAGGCCUUCGGGUUGUAAAGCUCUUUCGCAAGGGAAGAACACUUACUUAAUAACACUAAGUGAGGUUGACGGUACCUUGAUAAGAAGCACCGGCUAACUACGUGCCAGCAGCCGCCGUAA